rnacentral:rRNA from 1 species
UACGUAGGGUGCAAGCGUUGUCCGGAAUUAUUGGGCGUAAAGAGCUCGUAGGCGGUUUGUCGCGUCGAAUGUGAAAACCCGGGGCUCAACCCCGGGCCUGCAUUCGAUGACGGGCAGACUAGAGUUCGGUAGGGGGAGUCUGGAAUUCCUGGUGUAGCGGUGAAAUGCGCAGAUAAUCAGGAGGAACAGCCGGUGGCGGAAGGCGG